GCAGCAGUGGGGAAUAUUGGACAAUGGGCGAAAGCCUGAUCCAGCAAUGCCGCGUGAGUGAUGAAGGCCUUAGGGUUGUAAAGCUCUUUUACCCGGGAUGAUAAUGACAGUACCGGGAGAAUAAGCCCCGGCUAACUCCGUGCCAGCAGCCGCGGUAAUACGGAGGGGGCUAGCGUUGUUCGGAAUUACUGGGCGUAAAGCGCACGUAGGCGGCUUUGUAAGUUAGAGGUGAAAGCCCAGGGCUUAACCCUGGAAUUGCCUUUAAGACUGCAUCGCUAGAAUCGUGGAGAGGUAAGUGGAAUUCCGAGUGUAGCAGGUGAAAUGUCGUAGAUAUCUCAGGAGAGAACACCAGUGGCGAAGGCGAGCUUCUCACUGGACACGUAUGACG
rnacentral:rRNA from 1 species